CAUCUCUGUAUUCGUAUAGUCUUCUUUGUAGUGGAACUCUUUUCCAUGAAUGAGUUUAGGGUCAAAUUUUUGACACGAAACAAAGCCCAAAUCCCCUCAUAACCGUUCGCAGACACACCGGCUUACCAUCAUCUUCCCAAAACACUAGGCAAAAAUGCAAAAAUCCUAACUUCAAAACCGAACCCCCCCGGUCUCCGUUAAAGAGCCAAACCUCACUCUCUCCCUCAGAUCCACUCUCUCUUUCUACUCAUAUUUGUUUCUAUAGCCCUACUCUCUCUCUCUCUCUCUCUAUAUAUAUAUAUAUAUAUAUAUAUAUAUAUAUAUAUCACAUGAAACAACUAUAUUCAUAUACAGCUCCUAAUUGUUCUGAACUAUCUCAAGUUUGCUUUUUUUUUUUUUUUUGAGUUUUCAUCCCUUUUGGUUUUCUAUUUGCCACACGGGUUUUGAUGAUUUCUUCAACUCGUUGCCUGGGAUCAUGGUUUUAGCAUACGGGUAAUCUUCUGUUUUAUAAAAUUCCUCUGCGAGUUUUCCAUAUGUCGUGGGGAUGCAAUUUUAUUAAGAUUUUUGUCAAGCUAGUCUCUUGAAUGUGGGCUGGCUUUUGUGUUUGUUUGAUAGAAAUCCUCUUUUUUUCUGGGUUUCUUGUUGAAUGGAUUGUGAAGAUUUUUUGACAUUACUGCAUAGAAUCUUGAGGUUGGGACAUGAGUAUGUUUCAAUUUGAGGAAGAAAUCAAGAUAUGCUCUCUCUGCGGGUCACUCGGAGAUUCCGCAACUUUGCUGCUGCCGUUUUAUUAACUCAUAGCCCUGCAGCUGUAUCUAAUCUCAUUCAGAACCAAAACCAGAAGCCUUUGGAGGAACCUGCACUUCUUAAGCUUAAAGCUGAGAGAGACCCUGAAAAGCUAUUUAAUCUUUUCAAGGCCAAUGCUGAGAAUAAGCUUGUUGUGGAGAAUCGGUUUGCAUUUGAAGAUACCGUUUCUCGCUUAGCUGGUGCUAACAGGUUUGAUUACAUUGAGCAUUUACUUGAGCACCAAAAGACUCUUCCACAGGGUAGGCGCGAAGGGUAUAUGGUGAGGAUUAUAAUGUUGUAUGGAAAGGCUGGAAUGAUAGAGCAUGCUAUUGAUACUUUCCAUAAUAUGCAUUUGCGCGGAUGUAAAAGGACCGUUAAAUCCUUCAAUGCUGCACUCAAGGUUUUGACUGGAACCCGUGAUUUAGCAACAAUUGAGACCUUUGUCAACGAGGCCCCAAAGAAGUUUGAUAUCGAGUUUGACAUAUUUUCAGUUAACAUUAUUGUUAAGGCUUUAUGUGAAAGGGGUGUUUUGGAUAAAUCAUAUUUGCUCAUGGUAGAGAUGGAAAAGUCAGGGGUAACGCCAGAUGUCAUCACAUACACCACACUUACAUCGGCAUAUUAUAAGAAUAACAAAGCAGAGAUUGGCAAUGGAUUGUGGAACCUUAUGGUGCUUAAGGGGUGUUUACCCAAUCUUGCAACAUUUAAUGUUAGGAUUCAGUAUUUGGUCAAUAUAAGACGGGCAUGGCAUGCAAAUGAUGUGAUGCGUUUGAUGCAGAAAAUUGGGAUUGUGCCCGAUGAGGUUUCAUAUAAUUUGGUUCUAAAAGGCUUCUUCCAGGUUGGUCAUUUUGAGAUGGCCAAACUGGUGUAUUUUUCCUUACGUUGCAAGGGGCAUAAAUUUAAUGUUAAAGUUUACCAAACAAUGGUUCAUUAUUUAUGCAAGGGUGGGGAAUUUGAUUUGGCAUAUACAAUGUGUAGAGACUGCAUGAGAACCAACUGGUUUUUGAAUGUGGAUACCAUUCAUACACUGCUUGAAGGGCUAAAGAAGAAUGGGCAGCUUAACAAGGCUAAGGUAAUCUUGACUUUAGCCCAGAGGAGAGUGCCACCUUUUCCUUCAAGUCAUUUGAGUUCCAUGCAAGCUGUAUUGUCUAGAAGUUGAAUUGGGGUGAUGGAAAUACUCAGAUAAGCCUGAUUCUGUAACACCCAGCUUGACAGCAGGGACUAUUCUUUUCAUUAUAUCAAACAAUACGUUCACAGAACAAAAUGGACAUCAUAUCUUCAUCCUUAACAUCAAACAGGGGACUUCCCCUUUCUUCAAUUAAUUGAUUUUAGCGCCUUGAUUAAGUUCCUGGCGAAAUGAAAGUUAUAAACUUAUAGUGGAUGGUGCCAUGAUUCCUCUUCAUUUGACUAAGAGUUCGAUAGCCAGCUGAAAAGGUGUCUUCUUUUUUAUAUCUAUGACUUAGAUGGCAACGUUGUAUGUGAUGCAGGACAGCUGGAGGCUGUUUCAAGGCUGCAAACUGCGACGUGAAUAGUAAUUUUAGGGUCUGAGGUGAUCUUUCGAUGGUCAAUAGCUAUAGGACUGACUGGGCUAGAACGAGUGGAUGUUUAGUAAUUAAAUGGAGGUUGUUUGAUGGUUGGAAUAUGGGAGGAUUUGAAUUGCUGGAAAUUGUAAAAACUAUUAGCCACGCUAAAAUGGUUUCUAGGAGUCACAUUAGAGGAAAGAAAACGAAGCUUCACACCUAGAGUUCUUAGGAGUCACACCUAAGAGAAGAUUGAGUUUCUGGAAUUUUUAUUCAUGAACUGAUUCUUUCUGUAUUGAAAGAUUACAUAACCUUUAUAUAGAGUUCUUUGGACUUAUCUUCCUAUAUAAGAAAAUAUUAAUAAUCUUAUUUAAAAUAGGGAAAACGUAAUAAAGCUAAUUACUCUUUAGGAAUCAGGACUAAUAAAAUACUAAAUAGAAAAUAAAAUCUAGAACUAUAGAAUUUCCAGUAAAUCUGGAAAUUUCACAAAUAACCCUGUCUACGAAAUUAUACUAGAAUACAAUAAUUUUGCUUCUUUUGUUGUCACACUACGUACGAGUAAUAGCUGCCGUGGGUGUUAGUGGUUUCAUCUCUUAAAUAGUUGUUGCAACAUGAAAAAUCCAACAAAUUGUAGUAACAUCCUAAAAGGAGAGAGCAUUUUAUAGUUUUAAAAAUAUGGUUACCAUUUUUAUUAUUUGAAUUGUUUUUUGGAGGUAGGUAAACUAUGAAAGGUUAUUUAAUUUGGUGAACCUGUUCUUGUGAUCAUACUGGGUUGACCCCAAAAUAAAAAUGCAAGUAGAAUUGUAGAAUAUUUUUUCAAUAAGUCUUGUAUAUCUUGCCAAUAAGCGAUUCAAUAGAGUUCUUUGUUUUUGGAAAUAUGCAUACACAAAAAAGGCAAGGAUUCUUAGACAUUGAUUUCAGAAAAGGCUACCGGGGUCCCGAUGUAUUUUGGAAAUAGCGAGAGGGCUCUCCAAUACCCUUAACAUUAAGUCUAGAAUUCCACCAAGUAUUUGCCUUGUUAGAAGUCAACACUCCAAUAUGACACAAUAUGCAAGGUAACUUCGUGAGCUUUAUGAUACGAAUAUUCUACUUUCCUUCUUUGUGAAGCCAAAUUCACAUGAGGUAGAAGGCAAAACACUUUGGUCAGCCCUUCCUUGUCACCCCCGCAAUUCACCGCCACUUCCUGUUCCAUCCUUUUCUAAACAACCAGCCGACUUCUCUGAAGUUGCACCUCUGGUGAAAUAAUGAAACAAGCUUCAUCGUGCAAAUAUUACUAGUUAUGGAAACAGAACAAGUCAUCCUCUGGUGGUAAUUGUUGUUUAUAAUCCCUUCUGGCGAUUAUAUAUGAAGGAAGACUACCGAUGUGAUAAAUUCGAGUACAUUAAGUAUGGUCUAGGGGUAAAUAUUGCCCCACCAAGUGAAGAUGAAUUGUCCUUACCUAUGGGGGUGAACGGCUUCCACGAAUCAUGCUAUUUGUCACUUUUCCUAUCUUCUGACCUACAUGUUGAAAUGCCCUGUAUAGUCAAUUGCUGCAUGAACACUAGGAUGGACUGAAUCACUUCUAUUCAUGUAUAUUUAAUAACGGAUAGGUAAGAACAAAAAGUAGACACAUUGGAGGGUUCUAAUGAAAUUGAUUCAUGAAUACAUGCUUCUUGUCCCGCCGUAAGGGAAAAAAGGCAUCCUUUCCUGUUCUUGAAAUCCAUCUUUCUGUCCAAAUGGUAGGAAUUCUUACCUUUUUCGUAAUUGUAAAUGGGAAGAGAGGAGACCUGUAAAAAGGAUGCUGUUGCAAAGUAAUGGGGCAACGGCCACAAGAUGGAAUAUUUUAAUGGGGCUCUUUGGCAGCAGAAAAUGAAUUUGAAUUGACACAUUCUUGGUUUGUGGCUUUCUACUAGAAAUUCGAUCUCUCAUUUGAUUGAUGCAUUCAGUGCUCAACAGAGUAACAUUUUAUGGCUAGUCUCUGGUUGCAGAUCUGGAUAAAGUGGGAUUACUAGCAACAAUUGGUGCUGCAUUUUUGGGCAUGAACAAUAAUGUCUUAUAAUUGAGAUACCUGAACGCCUUCCGCUGCGUAUUGUGAAUUGAGUUUGGUUGUUUAUAGGAUUCUGUGUUUGACCAGGCAACUUUAGAUGACACUUGUUAGCACUAGUAUGAUGUACGAAGCUCCGUCCUGUUGCUCCAGUUUUGACUAUAUGUUUCAUACCUGAAAAGCUUGCCUCUAGUUAGAGAUAUCCCUGCAUACUCCGCACAAGCUUCCAAGACAUAGAAAAGUAGCUGUUGACGGAGAUAUAUCCUGCAUUCCCCUGUUGUCAUCUAUAUGGUUGGAGUCCUUUAAAAGGAGAAAUUUCAAAUGGUAGUGUUUUGUCAUCUUCAAAUUCAACUUUUUGCUGUAGAGAAGGCCUCAGAAGGCUAUAAUAUUCAUGCCGUUUAUUUAAUGGUGAUUGGGGAGUGGCACAGGGUUUUUAUUUUAA